AUUGAACGCUGGCGGCAGGCCUAACACAUGCAGGUCGAACGAGUGGCGGACGGGUGAGGAAUGUAUGGGGACUGACCGAUAGAGGGGGAUAACUACUGGAAACGGUAGCUAAUCCCGCAUACUAUCGGAUAACCCAUAUGGGAUUAGCUAGUUGGUGAGGUAAUGGCUCACCAAGGCGACGAUCCCUAGCUGGUCUGAGAGGAUGAUCAGCCAGACUGUGACUGAUACACGGCCCAGACUCCUACGGAGGCAGCAGUGGGGAAUAUUGCACAGUGGGCGCAAGCCUGAUGCAGCCCUGCCGCGUGUAUGAAGAAGGCCCUGGGGUUGUAAAGUACUUUCAGUCGGGAGGCGUUACCGACAGAAGAAGCUCCGGCUAACUCCGUGCCAGCAGCCGCGGUAAUUC
rnacentral:rRNA from 1 species